CGCCGCCGCGGGAAUACGUAGGUGGCAAACGUUGUCCGGAAUUAUUGGGCGUAAAGGGCUCGCAGGCGGUUUCUUAAGUCUGAUGUGAAAGCCCCCGGCUCAACCGGGGAGGGUCAUUGGAAACUGGGAAACUUGAGUGCAGAAGAGGAGAGUGGAGUUCCACGUGUAGCGGUGAAAUGCGUAGAGAUGUGGAGGAACACCAGUGGCGAAGGCGACUCUCUGGUCUGUAACUGACGCUGAGGAGCGAAAGCGUGGGGAGCGAACAGGAUUAGAUACCCCAGUAGUCCCUGUCUCUUAUACA
rnacentral:rRNA from 1 species